AUUGAACGCUGGCGGCAUGCCUUACACAUGCAAGUCGAACGGCAGCAUGAUCUAGCUUGCUAGAUUGAUGGCGAGUGGCGAACGGGUGAGUAAUACAUCGGAACGUGCCCUGUAGUGGGGGAUAACUAGUCGAAAGAUUAGCUAAUACCGCAUACGACCUGAGGGUGAAAGUGGGGGACCGCAAGGCCUCAUGCUAUAGGAGCGGCCGAUGUCUGAUUAGCUAGUUGGUGAGGUAAAGGCUCACCAAGGCGACGAUCAGUAGCUGGUCUGAGAGGACGAUCAGCCACACUGGGACUGAGACACGGCCCAGACUCCUACGGGAGGCAGCAGUGGGGAAUUUUGGACAAUGGGCGAAAGCCUGAUCCAGCAAUGCCGCGUGUGUGAAGAAGGCCUUCGGGUUGUAAAGCACUUUUGUCCGGAAAGAAAUGGAUCUGGUUAAUACCUGGGGUCGAUGACGGUACCGGAAGAAUAAGAACCGGCUAACUACGUG
rnacentral:rRNA from 1 species